rnacentral:piRNA from 1 species
ACUGAUAUAAAGCUCUUCUGAGGU